rnacentral:rRNA from 1 species
GACGUAGGGCGCGAGCGUUGUCCGGAUUUAUUGGGCGUAAAGAGCUCGUAGGCGGUCUGUCGCGUCGGCUGUGAAAACCCGGAGCUCAACUCCGGGCCUGCAGUCGAUACGGGCAGACUGGAGUUCGGCAGGGGAGACUGGAAUUCCUGGUGUAGCGGUGAAAUGCGCAGAUAUCAGGAGGAACACCGGUGGCGAAGGCGGGUCUCUGGGCCGAUACUGACGCUGAGGAGCGAAAGCGUGGGGAGCGAACAGG